GCCGGGUUAGCUCAGCUGGUAGAGCAGCUGAUUUGUAAUCAGUUGGUCGGGGGUUCGAUUCCUCUACCCGGCACCA
rnacentral:tRNA from 1 species